rnacentral:rRNA from 1 species
UACAGAGGGGGCAAGCGUUGUUCGGAAUUACUGGGCGUAAAGGGCGCGUAGGCGGCCGCCUAAGUCAGACGUGAAAUCCCCGAGCUCAACUCGGGAACUGCGUCCGAUACUGGCGGGCUUGAAUCCGGGAGAGGGAUGCGGAAUUCCAGGUGUAGCGGUGAAAUGCGUAGAUAUCUGGAGGAACACCGGUGGCGAAGGCGGCAUCCUGGACCGGCAUUGACGCUGAGGCGCGAAAGCUAGGGGAGCAAACGGG